GACCCUAUGGUCUAGUGGUAUGACGCCCGCGUAAACAUACUCCAUUUACUUGUUUUUCCGGGAGGUACCCCGUUCGAAUCGAGGUAGGGUCG